rnacentral:misc_RNA from 1 species
AACUAUGCACAAUAUACAUACGGAUGAUUUGGCAAGUGGGAGAAGACAUUACGUUUAGAUUAGCGUUGUGUACAGACUCCGACUUUUUCGAGAAUACUUUAAUAUUUUGUAUUUAAAUUUUAUUAGCAAAAAGUUAUCAAAAAGCUACGUAAAUUUCCUUGGAUUGGUAUAACAGAACGCUCAAGGUGGACUUGAAACGGUAGACGAGAAAGCUUCAAGCUAACUUUGUGUUAAUGAUAAUUCAGUUUUGGGACGUUUUCACUUUACGAUAUGGAUACAGAUCUAAAGUGGGUGAUAACUGAAGAAGAAAGAACAAGACACGAUGCACUGUUCUACAGUCAGAACCCGAAGAAGGGAUACUUAUCCGGGGAACAAGCAAGGUCGUUAUUCAUACGUUCUAGGCUACCACUCUCAGAACUCAGCAAAAUAUGGAAACUAGCAGAUAUCAGCCGAGAUAAUUUACUGGAUGUUUCAGAAUUUGCUACAGCAAUGCACCUAAUACAGCUAAGACUAAGAGGAUCUGAACUUCCAGAAAAGCUUCCUACUUCACUGACUCCUGUACGAGCAACUUUAACUGUUGUCCCACCAAUGAGUACUGAAGAAUGGAAUGCGUACUAUAAAACGUUUGUUUGGAAGGAUGCAAAUGCUUCUGGUUUUCUGGACACAGAAACAGCUUGUGGCAUCAUGAUGCUGUCCAAUCUUGAAUCAAGUACUUUAUCAAAGAUAUGGAAUUUGUCUGACAUAGAUAGGGAUGCCAAAUUAUCCCUAGAGGAGUUUGCUAUUGCAUUCCAUCUUUUAAGAUACUGCAAGAAGGGUAAUGAACUUGAAGGAAGCAUAGAUGUCAAGGCCAUGCUACCAAAUGAGGCUCUAAAAGACGAUGGCGAAGCCAAGAAAAAGAGACACGCUGAAGUUCAGUCGGAGAGAAGACAGCUUUUGACUUUGAAGCAAAAGCUAUGUUCAGAAAUAGCAGGCGGCCUUGAUGAUGCUACUGUAAAUGAAAAAAUACGACCAGAGCUGAACAAGAUUGAAGACAGGCUUUCUGUUUUAGAAAAAGAAGAAACUGAACUUCGUAGGAGCCUACUGAAUCUGAAGGACCGAUCGAAAAAAGAGAACUUCAAGCCGUUUGAUAAGAGUUUCUUACUAAAGAAACGGUUAUCUGGAGAAGAUUUGUUUAAAGGUCGCGAUAAAAAGCUAUCAACUGAUAAGGAUAGUGUGUUGUUUGAGAGACUUUGGACAUCAAACGGUACGAACCUAGAGAACACUGUGCCGAUUAAAGAAAGUGAAAACGGCCCAACUGUACCUGAAAUUACCCUCAACAACAAUUAUUCUGAAACGCAACCCUCAGAUAUCAGUUUUACUGAAGUGACGCGACCGAGUAGAAUUACAGAGAAGUCAGUGCCAAAGAUUGUGAACGGUGUCGCCGAUUCUGAAGAUAGCAAGACUCCAUUGUCAUCAGAUAGCUCCAGACUUAGUAAAGAUAGCAAACAGAGUAACAGUCGAACGCGUUCAACGGAAAAAGCCAGUGAACAAGCGAGUAUUUCAAAGGCUAGUCAAAAUAAAGAUAACCUCGACGAUUCUUUUUCCUCGGCUCUUGACACUAAAAGGAAAGUAGUUGAAGAAAAGGUGAAAGAGAGUUUGGCCAAACCUAGGAAAGGGGUGGAAAGAGACGAGUCCUUUUCUUGGGCAAGAAUUGAAAAACGACCAGUAAUUACGAAAAGAGUUAAAGAAGAGGUGGAAUUUCCAGAUAAAGAAUACCAAAAAAAGAAGAAUAGCUACAAAGGCAAGUCUCCUGUCCAGGAAGAAGUAUCUGUAUGUUCAGCUGAGAAAGCAGAGUCUGUCGCUGAUCAGAAUAUAAAUAAACUUUUUGAGCAAAUGUCAGCUGAAAUGGAGAAUGGUGAUGUGAAUGGUAUUGAACAUGGAGGCAGUGGUCCAGGGAAAUCAGGCUACAAGCUUCCCGUUGGAAGAGUCCUUUCCCAUGAAGAGGAAAAAGAGUUAAUUGAAUCGGGAGCCUUAAGAAAAGCAGAAAGACAAGUUCCUUCGAGCAAGAAUCGAACACAAGAAGAACUCCUGCCAAUUUAUCUCGAGGAGAAAAGGGCUAUAGAAGAAGAGAGAAGAAAGAAAAGGGAAAUCGAGGAAGAGAAAAGAAGACAAGCCAGAGAAGAAUUAAAGAGACAAGAAGAAGAGAGAUCUCGGGAACUGAUGGAACGAAAAUAUGCAAUGCAAGAAGCAAGGGGGAAGUUAGAAAAGCAUAUAUCUCAGUCUGAUAAAGAUGAGUACCACACUACUGAUGCUGGUUACCUCAUCGAACGAGAACUUGAAGAACAGAGACGUAGGGAAGAGGAAGUUCAAAGAAGGAUAGAGGAAGCAAGGAAGGAUGAAACAACGCUUUCAAAAGACAAGCAUCAAAAACCUCAUGCCAAACAAGUCUAUAUCGAAACGGGUAAAGCCGCAAACAAUAAACCUCAUCCGGUUGUUGUUCGACCAAAAACGGAUCCCAAGCACCACCAUCACCGCAAAAGCUGGGUAGAAUUGGAGAUUGAGGAACAAAAGCGUAAAGAUGACGAAAUGCGUCGAGAGAUCGAGCAAAGAAAUUCUGAACUUACCCGCCUCACAAAAGACCAAAAGCCACUCCACGCCAUUGAAAAAGAAAUUGAAAUAACGGGGAGGUCUAUUAAGAGUACUACCACGCAUAGAACUGUAGAGUCUCAACCUCCUUCAGCACUCGAGGUAAGGCGGGGGGCGCCCGAUAAGGAUGUGAGUAGGCCAGUUACAAAUGCUCAACGGCCUGCACAUUUGCCAGAUAGAAACGUGGCUGGACCACGAGUUCUAGGAAGUGUUCGUGCUGACAAAAUUCCCAUGGAUAGUGUUGAUGGGAAAAUGACGGCAGAGGACAAAGAAAUCCAGAGAAAAAUACAGGAGGAAGAGGAAAGAAGAAGAUUAAAACAAAUUGAGCAAAUUCAACAAGAGAGCCGCAAGAGAGAAGCUGAGGAACUUAUGCGACUACGAGAAAUACGUGAAGAAGAACUGCGCAAGAAAAGGGAAAUUGCCCUCAAGGAAGCCGAAAAGAGGAAACUAGAAGAACAGCAUAGAGCAGCUGAAGCGCAGAGAAUUGCAGAUUCGAGGCGUCUUACUUUCCAAGCUCAAAAAGUAAGACUUGAAGAGCGAGUUAUCACUGCUAUGAAAGAAACGCAGGUGCAGUCAGAAGUCGUACUUCGAAAUAAAACUCCAGGCACAAGAAAAGAUGAUCAAGAAGUCCCCUCUUCUGAAUCUGAGGACACUGAGAAGCGUGAAAGAAGGAAGAGUGUUCGAGACACAAAGGCAUUAUUCGAACAUUCUGCACCAAACCAGGAAGAAUCAAAGGUUGUGUUGCGCAAGAAACGGCAAUCUCUGAAUUUAGAAAACAGUGGUGGCCAACAAAAACCAGGCAGGAAAGACAGGGCUUCCUUUUACUCUGACGCAACAUCGACUCAGGAAUUUCAAACGCAAAUUCAAAGAGAAAGAGCAACAUCGUCUCAGGAAUUUCAAACGCAAACUCACAGAGAUAAAGAAUUUAAGAUUAUCGCAAAGAAUGAAGCCCCAACCCGUUUGAAUUUAGGAAACAUCUCUGAAAAACGCCAGCAGUUUGAAAGUCAGAGACAACAAAAUUCGGUCGAAAGGCACCAAACUACAAGCAAAGAAAAGCCCAGACCUAGUGAGUCCAAGUCACCUCCUCCUCCCUUGGACCAAGAAGAUGCUGGUGCUCCGCAUCCGAUGACCGAUUCUUUCUUCCCCUCAAUUUCGAGUAACAGAAUAAAACAAGAAAUGGAAGAACUCAGGCAGAGGGAGCAAGAAAUUCAUGUUAGAAGGCAGGCAAUGGUGAGGGCACCUUCUUCUGAUAAGGAGAUGGUAACGAAGAAAACUAACCCAGCUCCACCAGCGUCUUCUGAUUUGGUGGUUCGAAGAAAAGAAUCAGAACAGAAAACUGCACCCAAGAAGCAGCAAAACUACAGAAAGAGUUUUAUAGAGAUUGAGAAAGAGAAAGAAAGAGAAAGAGAGGAAGAACUGCAAAGAGAACGAGAGGCAAUUUCGAAAGAAGUAGAAGAACAAAAAAAGUAAAAUGAACAGCAGAGCUGAUGAUGUGGUCAUAAAAAGGAAGAAGAGGCGAAAGCAAAACGAAUUAUGGAAGAGGAGAAAGAAAGAAAAAAGAAUAAACCAAACGCCAUGUCAUCCAGGUGGGAUAAACGAGGCCAGUUCAAGUAACUUCUACAAUCUAUGACUAAUGUGUUUAUACUUAAUUCUUACAAUUGAAAUUUCUUAUUAAUAAUGAAUUUAUUAUACAAAUACACAAUAGUUAUUAGCUUGUUCCAAUUACUCCAGUUUCGAGUUACCUUUUGUUCAGCCUUAACCUCGGUUGUGCGUUGAAUAUUCAGCUAUUCGACCAAAACCGGUGGAAUUUAAUGAACUCGUAUUGUUCCGUACAUUCCUUAUUGUACAAUUGACCUUAUAUAAAAGUAAAGAACACAUUUGUACACAAUUGAGGCUAAGACUGAGCAAAGGUGAACUCGAAAUGGGAGUAUUGACUGGUUUGGCAGCGCUGUUGAGGCCCGUACACACGGAGAAGCUGCUGUGCUCAACAUUCAUGGCAAAAAAGUUUCGAAAGCUCUUUUGCCGUAACAACAAACAAAACAACCGAAAUUAAGAAAAACUAUCAAAACUAACCACUAUGAAAACCAGUCAGCGGUGCACCAAGUUCGCAGUCAACUUUUUUUAUAUGGCUGUAGCCCCCCUCUUUCACUCAGUAAGAAAUUCGUGACCCUCCUAUUGAGUCAACAACAAAACAGCUUUUGUCAAAAUUAAAAGGUUUGACCCUCAAACAAAGUUAACAAUUUUACUGAAGCUCCAGGCCUCCCCUAAACCGCAAUAAAAAACGUAACUUCCCUAACAAUGACAAAAACAGUUUUGCUUAUAUUAUGCUGGCCGAAGCAUGAAAUAACGGUUGCACGCAUUUAUUUGUGAAGAUUAGAGUAGAUCGUAUCGAACAUGUAUGACUUGAUUAGUAACUGAAUUUUUAUACGAAAUCUUUAGAAUGUUCAAUUAUACGACGAUAUUCCAUUUCUAGAUUAUAUGCAGUUUAAGAAUUGUUUUUUGAUAUGAAAACUGUUGAUCUCAGAAGUCCAUAACUUCUGUUGACAUCCUAAAGGCUAUCUCAUGCAAUUUAGUUAGAAAUUAUCAGUAUUGACAUGAAAGUGGUGUGAUGAUUUUUUGCAGAUUUUACACUGACCACAAUUCUAGCUACGCAUUAACAAAUCACCAUGAUCCUUUUGUGACGCAGAUUUCACAUUAAGGCGGGCCCGUUCCAUACGCGGCUCUACUCAUGUGCCGAACUUAAUACAAUUAGGUUCGACUCGGAAUCGUUUUGGAGCGACUGCUGAUUCAGACGGCCAACUUGAUUGAUUGAGUACGACAGAAUAGCGGCCUACGAAUCAGUUUGAUCAAACAAUUUCAAUUUGGUACGGCAAGUACGUUAAGUCCGAUAAGGCUUGCCGCAUUAGAGACACUGGAAUGGCAACUGAUUCAGACGCCGCUCUUUUUGCGUACUUAAUUCAUGAAUGACGUCCGGCACAAGAGUAGUGCGGCGUAUGGAACGGGCGUCAUAAUCUUUUGCAAAACAUUUGUACACGAAAAUAAGAUCAAUCACCAACUUUUGCACAAUUUUUGUAAAAAAAAUACUUCACUAAAAUUUUUAUAAUCCACAGAUAUUAUAGAUCUUUCCAAUUAAUAGGUCACGUUCGAUAUGUUAAAAUUCAUUCUUGAUCGCGAGACUCUGACUUCAUUAAUAGUAUGGUACUGUACUUCAUGUAUAGUACAAACAUGUGGAUCACCAUACAUUUAUUCGUAUGAGUACGUAAAGUAAUGCUCCAUAUACGACGUUUCUGCCUUUUUUUAAUAAGAAAAUUUUGGUAGGAACGCUAGUCAGUUUACUUUACUCAAACAACGUUAUAAUCGAAUCUACAGCACUUUAUCUACUAUCCCUUUAAAGGCUUCGCACUGUAAUGCAAUUCCGGGAGAGCCUUUCCGGUAUCGUGCUAAAUUUUAAUAUUUCGGACGUGGCCGUAGUAUUGCAAGUUUUGCAAUAUGCAGUUAAUCUUCUAAGCAAUUAAUUUGAUACAUAUGCAAGGUAAAGAUUAAUUAAAAAUACGUUCUAGAUUAGCAAUUAGAUCUAGAAGUUUAUGGUAAAAUAUAAAUAUAUAAUCUUAGUAUAAAGUUCUUAGAAUGGUAUAUUAUGAUAUGCAUGCCUAUACUACUAAAGUAGUCGUUAAAUGCACGAAUCUCUGAUAGAGAAACGUAGAUUGUACAGAUGUAUGAUAAUUAGGGGGAGCCGUUCUCCACAUUUGUUAAAUUUGGUAUUUCAAUCAAUAAAUGUUAUUUCAAUAAAUCGAUUUUCUUAGUAAAA